rnacentral:rRNA from 1 species
UACGGAGGGGGCUAGCGUUGUUCGGAAUUACUGGGCGUAAAGCGCGCGCAGGUGGUUUCUUAAGUCUGAUGUGAAAGCCCACGGCUCAACCGUGGAGGGUCAUUGGAAACUGGGAGACUUGAGUGCAGAAGAGGAAAGUGGAAUUCCAUGUGUAGCGGUGAAAUGCGUAGAGAUAUGGAGGAACACCAGUGGCGAAGGCGACUUUCUGGUCUGUAACUGACACUGAGGCGCGAAAGCGUGGGGAGCAAACAGG